ensembl:miRNA
AGCAUGACAGAGGAGAGGUGGAGGUAGGCGAGAGUAAUAUAACUUCUCCAGGAGAACAUCUGAGAGGGGAAGUUGCUUUCCUGCCCUGGCCCUUUCAUCCUCCUGAGUUUGGG